rnacentral:rRNA from 1 species
UACGGAGGGUGCAAGCGUUAAUCGGAAUUACUGGGCGUAAAGCGCACGUAGGCGGAUUGUUAAGUCAGGGGUGAAAUCCUGGAGCUCAACUCCAGAACUGCCUUUGAUACUGGCGAUCUUGAGUCCGGGAGAGGUGAGUGGAACUCCGAGUGUAGAGGUGAAAUUCGUAGAUAUUCGGAAGAACACCAGUGGCGAAGGCGGCUCACUGGCCCGGUACUGACGCUGAUGUGCGAAAGCGUGGGGAGCAAACAGG